rnacentral:rRNA from 1 species
CACGCCGUAAACGAUGGGUGCUAAGUGUUGGAGGGUUUCCGCCCUUCAGUGCUGCAGCAAACGCAUUAAGCACUCCGCCUGGGGAGUACGACCGCAAGGUUGAAACUCAAAGGAAUUGACGGGGGCCCGCACAAGCGGUGGAGCAUGUGGUUUAAUUCGAAGCAACGCGAAGAACCUUACCAGGUCUUGACAUCCUUUGACCACUCUAGAGAUAGAGCUUUCCCUUCGGGGACAAAGUGACAGGUGGUGCAUGGUUGUCGUCAGCUCGUGUCGUGAGAUGUUGGGUUAAGUCCCGCAACGAGCGCAACCCUUAUUGUUAGUUGCCAUCAUUUAGUUGGGCACUCUAGCGAGACUGCCGGUGACAAACCGGAGGAAGGUGGGGAUGACGUCAAAUCAUCAUGCCCCUUAUGACCUGGGCUACACACGUGCUACAAUGGGAAGUACAACGAGUCGCUAGACCGCGAGGUCAUGCAAAUCUCUUAAAGCUUCUCUCAGUUCGGAUUGCAGGCUGCAACUCGCCUGCAUGAAGCCGGAAUCGCUAGUAAUCGCGGAUCAGCACGCCGCGGUGAAUACGUUCCCGGGCCUUGUACACACCGCCCGUCACACCACGAGAGUUUGUAACACCCGAAGUCGGUGAGGUAACCUUUUUGGAGCCAGCCGCCUAAGGUGGGAUAGGUGAUUGGGGUGAAGUCGUAACAAGGUAACCAAGGGCGAAUUCGCGGC